GGGCCCGUAGCUCAGUCAGGUAGAGCGCCGGGCUCUUAACCCGGUGGUCGGGAGUUCAAAUCUCCCCGGGCCCG
rnacentral:tRNA from 1 species